GAUGAACGCUAGCUACAGGCUUAACACAUGCAAGUCGAGGGGUAGCAGGGUAGCAAUACCGCUGACGACCGGCGCACGGGUGAGUAACACGUAUCCAACCUUCCCAUAACUCGGGGAUAGCCUUUCGAAAGAAAGAUUAAUACCGGAUAGUACUUUUUCAAGGCAUCUUGAGAAAGUUAAAGAUUUAUUGGUUAUGGAUGGGGAUGCGUUCCAUUAGAUAGUUGGUGAGGUAACGGCUCACCAAGUCUUCGAUGGAUAGGGGUUCUGAGAGGAAGGUCCCCCACAUUGGUACUGAGACACGGACCAAACUCCUACGGGAGGCAGCAGUGAGGAAUAUUGGUCAAUGGGCGAGAGCCUGAACCAGCCAAGUAGCGUGAAGGAUGAAGGUCCUAUGGAUUGUAAACUUCUUUUAUAGUAGAAUAAAGUGACCCACGUGUGGGUUUUUGUAUGUAUACUAUGAAUAAGGAUCGGCUAACUCCGUGCCAGCCGCCGCAGUAACAC
rnacentral:rRNA from 1 species